rnacentral:rRNA from 1 species
AUGAAGGAGUUUGCAGGUGACGCAAGGAACGUAUCGUUUGGUCUAAGCGCAGAUGGCAUUAAUUCUUUUGGGGAGCAGAGCAACAACCAUAACACCUGGCCUGUGACUCUAUGUUUGUAUAACCUUCCUCCUUGGUUGUGCAUGAAGCGGAUGUUCAUUUUGAUGCCAGUGCUCAUCCAAGGCCCUAAGCAACCCGGCAACGGUAUUGAUGUGUACCUAAGGCCAUUAGUUGAAGAACUCUUACAGUUGUGGAAUGGAACAAGUGUAUGUGUGUGGGAUGAGCAUGCACAGGUAGAAUUUGACCUAAAGGCGUUGCUGUUCGUGACCAUCAAUGAUUGGCCUGCUCUUAGUAACCUUUCAGGACAGACAAACAAGGGAUACCGCGCAUGCACGCACUGUUUGGAUGAUACCGACAGUAUAUAUUUGGAUAAUUGUAGGAAGAAUGUGUACCUGGGACAUCGUCGAUUUAUUCCGAGCAGGCAUCCCGUAAGAAAUAAAGGCAAGCAUUUCAAAGGUGAGGCGGAUCACCAGACGAAGCCUCGCCACCGUACUGGUGCUGAUGUACAUGAUAUGGUCAAGGAUUUGAAGGUAGUCUUUGGAAAGGGUCCUGGCGGACAACAUGUUCCGAAUUACGCUGACGGACGCGCACCCAUGUGGAAGAAGAAAUCUAUAUUUUGGGACUUGUCCUAUUGGAAAGACCUAGAGGUCCGCUCCGCAAUCAACGUGAUGCACGUGAUGAAGAAUCUUUGCGUGACCCUACUUGGCUUCUUGGGCAUGUAUGGGAAGACAAAAGAUACACCUGAGGCACGGGAGGACCACCAACGUAUGCAUGGAAAAGACGGCAUACAUCAGGGUCAUGACAGCUACGCUCUUACCAAAGAAGAGAAGGAAAUCUUCUUUGAAUGCCUGCUCAGUAUUAAGGUACCGUCUGGCUUCUCGUCAAAUAUAAAGGUAAUAAUAAAUAUGGCAGAGAAAAAGUUCCAGAACCUAAAGUCUCAUGACUGCCACGUGAUUAUGACGCAACUACUUCCGGUUGCAUUGAGGGGGCUUCUACCGGAAAACGUUCGAUUAGCCAUUAUGAAGCUAUGUGCAUUCCUCAAUGCAAUCUCUCAGAAGGUAAUCGAUCCAGAAAUCAUACCAAGGUUAGAGAAUGAUUUGGUGCAAUGUCUUGUCAGUUUCGAGUUGGUGUUCCCACCAUCCUUCUUCAACAUCAUGACGCACGUCCUAGUUCACCUAAUCAAAGAGAUUAACGUUUUUGGUCCUGUAUUUCUACACAAUAUGUUCCCCUUUGAGAGGUUCACGGGAGUCUUAAAGAAAUAUGUUCGUAACCGCGCUAGGCCAGAAGGAAGCAUCUCCAAGGGCCAUGAAAAUGAGGAGGUCAUUGAGUUUUGUAUUGACUUUAUUCCUGACCUUAAGCCGAUUGGUGUUCCUGAAUCGUGGAAUAAGGGCAGACUGGAUGGAAAAGGCACGCUAGGAGGGGAUCAAAUAAUAUGUAUGGACGGACAUUCUCUCACUGAAGCACACUACACAGUUCUACAGAAUUCCGCCUUGGUGGCUCCGUAUAUGGACGAACACAAGAAUUUUCUACGCUCCAAACACUCGGAGCCGUCUGAUGACUGGAUUACACGUGAACAAACAAGGACUUUCGCCGGCUGGUUGCAUACACGUACCAUGCAUGACGCCUCUAUUGAAGAUGCCCUCUACUCGCUGUUCCAGUUACCAUCUUCGAAUAUAAUGACUUUCAAAGGGUACGAGAUAAAUGGGAAUACAUUUUACACGAUCGCCCAAGAUAAGAAGAGCACCAACCAAAACAGUGGUGUCCGCUUUGAUGCAGCAACCAAGACGGGAAAGGAAACAUAUUAUGGUUACAAAGAGGACAUAUGGGAACUUGACUAUGGACGUGGUUUGAAGGUCCCUUUGUUUCGGUGCAAAUGGGUCAAUAUGACAUGA